rnacentral:rRNA from 1 species
GACGAACGCUGGCGGCGUGCUUAACACAUGCAAGUCGAGCGAGGCCCCUCCUUCGGGAGGGUGUCUUAGCAGCGAACGGGUGAGUAACACGUGGGCAACCUGCCCCCAGCUCUGGGAUAACUCCAAGAAAUUGGGGCUAAUACCGGAUAUGACCGCUGACCGCAUGGUCUGGUGGUGGAAAGAUUUAUCGGCUGGGGAUGGGCCCGCGGCCUAUCAGCUUGUUGGUGGGGUAGUGGCCUACCAAGGCGACGACGGGUAGCCGGCCUGAGAGGGUGACCGGCCACACUGGGACUGAGACACGGCCCAGACUCCUACGGGAGGCAGCAGUGGGGAAUAUUGCGCAAUGGGCGGAAGCCUGACGCAGCGACGCCGCGUGGGGGAUGACGGCCUUCGGGUUGUAAACCUCUUUCAGCAGGGACGAAGCGAAAGUGACGGUACCUGCAGAAGAAGCACCGGCCAACUACGUGCCAGCCGCCGCGGUAA